rnacentral:rRNA from 1 species
GGCAGGCCUAACACAUGCAAGUCGAGCGGUAACAGGAAGAAAGCUUGCUUUCUUUGCUGACGAGCGGCGGACGGGUGAGUAAUGCCUAGGGAACUGCCCAGUCGAGGGGGAUAACAGUUGGAAACGACUGCUAAUACCGCAUACGCCCUACGGGGGAAAAGAGGGGACCUUCGGGCCUUCUGCGAUUGGAUGUACCUAGGUGGGAUUAGCUAGUAGGUGAGGUAAUGGCUCACCUAGGCGACGAUCCCUAGCUGUUCUGAGAGGAUGAUCAGCCACACUGGGACUGAGACACGGCCCAGACUCCUACGGGAGGCAGCAGUGGGGAAUAUUGCACAAUGGGCGCAAGCCUGAUGCAGCCAUGCCGCGUGUGUGAAGAAGGCCUUCGGGUUGUAAAGCACUUUCAGCGAGGAGGAAAGGUUAAGUGUUAAUAGCACUUAGCUGUGACGUUACUCGCAGAAGAAGCACCGGCUAACUUCGUGCCAGCAGCCGCGGUAAUACGAGGGGUGCAAGCGUUAAUCGGAAUUACUGGGCGUAAAGCGUACGCAGGCGGUUUGUUAAGCGAGAUGUGAAAGCCCCCGGCUCAACCUGGGAACUGCAUUUCGAACUGGCAAACUAGAGUCUUGUAGAGGGGGUAGAAUUUCAGGUGUAGCGUGAAAUGCGUAGAGAUCUAAAGAAUACCGUGGCGAAGGCGGCCCC